UAACAUGUACGCGAGUCANGCGGACAGGCAAAACCGCACGGCGUUAAUGAAGGUGAAGCGGCGCUGGCCGUAACAAGUCGGCGUCUGCGAGGCAGGAUCCUUGCCGAGAGGUGAGGCGCACUGCCGGCCCGUCUCCUCGCGAGGCGGAGCUAGAGCGCACACGUUGGUACCCGAAAGAUGGUGAACUAUGGCUGACUAGGACGAARCCAGAGGAAACUCUGGUGGAGGUCCGUAGCGAUUCUGACGUGCAAAUCGAUCGUCAAACUUGGCUAUAGGGGCGAAAGACUAAUCGAACCAUCUA
rnacentral:rRNA from 1 species